rnacentral:rRNA from 1 species
CCUACGGGAGGCAGCAGUGGGGAAUAUUGGACAAUGGGGGGAACCCUGAUCCAGCGACGCCGCGUGAGUGAAGAAGUAUUUCGGUAUGUAAAGCUCUAUCAGCAGGGAAGAAAGAAAUGACGGUACCUGACUAAGAAGCCCCGGCUAACUACGUGCCAGCAGCCGCGGUAAUACGUAGGGGCAAGCGUUAACCGGAUUUACCGGGGGGAAAGGGAGCGGAGACGGCGAUGCAAGUCUGAAGUGAAAGGCGGGGGGCCAACCCCCGGACUGCUUUGGAAACUGGAUGGCUGGAGUGCAGGAGAGGUAAGUGGAAUUCCUAGUGUAGCGGUGAAAUGCGUAGAUAUUAGGAGGAACACCAGUGGCGAAGGCGGCUUACUGGACUGUAACUGACGUUGAGGCUCGAAAGCGUGGGGAGCAAACAGGAUUAGAUACCCCAGUAGUC